GACGAACGCUGGCGGCGUGCCUAAUACAUGCAAGUCGAACGCAGUGGGGACGGGUGAGUAACCCGUGGGUAACCUCCCAUCAGAGGGGAUAACACUUGGAAACAGGUGCUAAACCGAUACUGAUGGAUGGACCCGCGGUGCAUUAGCUAGUUGGUGAGGUAACGGCUCACCAAGUCCAAGAUGCAUAGCUGGCCUGAGAGGGUGACCGGCCACACUGGGACUGAGACACGGCCCAGACUCCGACGGGAGGCAGCAGUAGGGAAUCUUGCACAAUGGGCGAAAGUCUGACCGAGCAAUGCCGCGUGAAUGAAGAAGGUUUUCGGGUCGUAAAGUUCUUUUGUUAGGGAAGCGGUAUUUACCCAGAAAGCCACGGCUAACUACGUGCCAGCAGCCGCGGUAAUAC
rnacentral:rRNA from 1 species